rnacentral:rRNA from 1 species
GAUGAACGCUGGCGGCGUGCCUAAUACAUGCAAGUCGAGCGAACAGACGAUGCUCUUGCUCCACUGACGUUAGCGGCGGACGGGUGAGUAACACGUGGAUAACCCACCUAUAAGACUGGGAUAACUUCGGGAAACCGGAGCUAAUGCCGGAUAAUAUAUUGAACCGCAUGGUUGGAUAGUGAAAGCCGGUUUUGCUGUCAUCUCUAGCUGUAUCCUCGCCGCAUGGGCUAGGUCGUAGGGUAACGGCUUCCCAAGGCAACGAUGCGUGGCCGAACUGCGAGGGUGAUCGGCCACACUGGGAGUGAGACGCGGUCCAGGCUCCUACGGGAGGCAGCAGUAGGGAAUCGUCCGAGAUGGGCGGAAGCCUGACGGAGCAACGCCGCGUGGGUGAUGAGGGUCUGCGGAUCGUAAGACUCUGUUAGUAGGGAAGAACAAAUGUGUAAGUAACUAUGCACGUCUUGACGGUACCUAAUCAGAAAGCCACGGCUAACUACGUG